AACUGCGAGUGAAGCGGGAAAAGCUCAAAUUUAAAAUCUGGCGGUCUUUGGCCGUCCGAGUUGUAAUUUAGAGAAGCGUCUUCCGCGCUGGACCGUGCACAAGUCUCCUGGAAUGGAGCGUCAUAGAGGGUGAGAAUCCCGUCUUUGGCACGGACACCGGGUGCUUUUGCGAUGCGCUCUCAAAGAGUCGAGUUGUUUGGGAAUGCAGCUCAAAAUGGGUGGUGAACUCCAUCUAAAGCUAAAUAUUGGCGAGAGACCGAUAGCGAACAAGUACCGUGAGGGAAAGAUGAAAAGCACUUUGGAAAGAGAGUGAAACAGUACGUGAAAUUGUUGAAAGGGAAACGCUUGAAGUCAGUCGCGUCGAUCGAGACUCAGCCUUGCCUUGGCUUGGUGUACUUCUCGGCACGACGGGCCAGCAUCAAUUUUUCUCCACGGAUAAUGGCAGGGGAAAGGUGGCACCCUCAUGGGUGUGUUAUAGUCUCCUGUCGCAUGCGAGGGGUGGGAUUGAGGAACUCAGCGUGCACCUCAGUGUCGGGGCUUUG
rnacentral:rRNA from 2 species